AUUGAACGCUGGCGGCAGGCUUAACACAUGCAAGUCGAGCGAGCGGCGGCCGGGUGAGUAAUGUCUUGGAAACUGCCUGAUGGAGGGGGAUAACUACUGGAAACGGUAGCUAAUACCUCAUACCAUCAGCUGUGCCCAGAUGGGAUUAGCUAGUAGGGGGGGUAAUGGCUCACCUAGGCGACGAUCCCUAGCUGGUCUGAGAGGAUGACCAGCCACACUGGAACGUAGACACGGUCCAGACUACUACGGGAGGCAGCAGUGGGGAAUAUUGCACAAUGGGCGCAAGCUUGAUGCAGACAUGCCGCGUGUGUGAAGAAGGCCUUCGGGUUGUAAAGCACUUUCAGCGAGGAGGCGUUACUCGCAGAAGAAGCACCGGCUAACUCCGUGCCAGCCGCAGCGGUAAUUG
rnacentral:rRNA from 1 species